rfam:Schistocephalus solidus strain NST_G2 genome assembly, scaffold: SSLN_scaffold0001765
GGCCUCCUAGCUCAGUUAGCUAGAGCGUUGGCUUUACUAAAGCCUUCCCCUUGCUGGCGUGGGUUCGAAUCCCACUGAAGCCA